GAUAGAAUGGACUACUAAAAGCAACUCAUCAUGGUCACUCAAUUGACGGUUUUCAGAUAACGUUAGCAAUCGUGAGACUAGCAUUUCCCUCCUCAGGUUGCUAGCUGGCUAACGUCAUGCAUGCUACUGAUUAACCUUAACUUUGGGAUAGGUCAGUGAUGCAGUCAAGUAUUAUUAUCAGAUUAGACAAGAUUACUUUGUAUGUUGCUGCAUUUCAGGAUAUCUAUAAAGACGCAUAUCUUAUUUAUGCGGCAUAAAUAAGAUAUAGAUUUCCUACUUGCGCAUUUAUAUCAAAUUAUGUACAGCAUGUUUAUAUUGCCAUUUGCCAUUAUGAAAAUCUAUACAUGUAAAAUAUAGUUAGUAAUUUUUAAAUGUACCAGUGACUUACUUAAUUUAUUAGUCUUAUAAUGCAAUUUUUCGUAGGCCUACUGUAGAUUCAAAAUUGUAUUUCUGUAAAAUCCCUGAAUAUUUUCUCUUGUAUGCAGGGUCAAUGCUUAAAUAUGUUCAAGGAGGAUCUCAAGGACAGGAUGAACCAUCCAGUAGUAGUGCCAUCCCUGGACAUCAACCACCAGCCAUUGUAGACCCUGCAACAAUCCCUAGCCAAGAAGAACAAGAACCAUCAACCACCAGUUCAGGUACAGUUCCAUACACAAGUACCACUGAGAGUCCUGUCACUGAGAGACUAUCAGAAAGUGACACUGUGGAGACAUGUGUGCCCCCUUCAACCGAUCCUGCUCUUUGGCCAGCUCACAUUGUAGAUGCUGAUCGUGUUGAAAUUGUGCGGAGAGGUCCUUUUAAUGUCAGCUCUGAUUUUAA